CCCCCCCCCAGUAAACAAGAAAGUUUUCUCACAUUGAAUAAAAGACUUUUUUAUUUUAUAAUCUACAAAAGAAUUAAUUAAAACACUGGCUUAUUUUAUUAUUUAUAACUAGUAGGCCCUAAUUGUCAAUUAAUUUUUUUUUUCGUCUAAACUUACUUUGUAAAAAACAAAACAAAAUGUCAAGCUUUAUAAAAAAAAAAAAGCCAAAAUGUUUAUUUGUUAUACCAUGACAUGAGUAUUAUCUUUUCUUAGUUUAUACACGCUAAUUAUUUACAAUUAUGCAAUUCUUGUUAUUAUAUUAACAUUAAAUAAAGUGUGUCUGUUACUGCCUCCAUAGUGAAUCAUUUAAAGACAUAAAUCAUGAGGUCAAUAUAAACUGAGACAAGUGAAAAUUAAUAAUAAAGGAUGACUUUUCAAUUAAAGACUUUUAGAAUGACCAGUAUAUACUUAUAUUACUUUAAAUGAAAGCAGUGUGUAUCUGUAUAAAUGUAUGCUGUAGUUUAUUUAGUAGAUCUGGUAUGUACAAUCUCUAUUUACAAUUUUAGUAUAGAUUUGAGUUUAACAAAAUAUUCAUAUAAAAUAAUGUUCAUUUCAAUAUAUUUUUCCCAUUAAUUCAUUGCAUUACAAUGUAUUGUUACAUUCAUGGAGUUCGAAGAGUUUUGUGAGCCUUAACAAUUUUUCUGUCUCUAAAGUACACGAUUAUUUUUAAAUCAUUUUUUUAAUAUUUCUUUCCAUGACACUGAGCCCAUUUCUAUUUCUGUGAUUGGUGGGUUGGAUUCAGUGAUAUAACUUUCAAAUUAAGUGCAUUUAAAAAAAAUUUUUUUUUUUGGUUUCAAUUUACCUAAAAUAAUGUUUUGAAAAAAAUAUGUUCAUUUGUAUUCCUUAUCUAAAAAUAUUAAUAAAUGCAUGAUCUGUGAUGUUUGAAUACAGCCUACAAGAGAGAAGGUGUUUAACUCAGGCUGACAAGAAAUGUCUGUACUAAGUUAAUGCAUAUCAAAAUUAUUUUUGCCAUAUGUAAUUGUUGCAUGCCAAAAAUACUUAUGAAUUUCUAGUCCACUUUUAAAUACUUUUUUAAUGAAAUAAAAUAUUUUAAGAUUAUAAUGGAUUUCUUGUUUUUCAUUCAUUCAAUGUCAAGAUUUUAAAGAUAUAGCUUAUCAAUCAGAUAAUGUAGAAUUGAAUUGUGCUGGGGCUUCUAGUUUAAGUUACUAAAAAUAAAUAUUUUCUUUUAAAGAUGAAUUUAUAACAACCAAUGUUCAGAAAUAACUCAACACUUUAUGUCAAUAACCACAUUUGUUUUUAAU